rnacentral:rRNA from 1 species
GUGGGGAAUAUUGGGCAAUGGGCGCAAGCCUGACCCAGCAACGCCGCGUGAGGGAAGAAGGCUUUCGGGUUGUAAACCUCUGUCCUUGGUGACGAAGAAAGUGACGGUAGCCAAGGAGGAAGCCCCGGCUAACUACGUGCCAGCAGCCGCGGUAAUACGUAGGGGGCGAGCGUUGUCCGGAAUUACUGGGCGUAAAGGGUGCGUAGGUGGCCUUUUAAGUUGGAUGUGAAAUACCCGGGCUUAACUUGGGGGGUGCAUCUAAUACUGGGAGGCUAGAGUGCAGGAGAGGGAAGCGGAAUUCCUAGUGUAGCGGUGAAAUGCGUAGAUAUUAGGAGGAACACCAGUGGCGAAGGCGGCUUUCUGGACUGUAACUGACACUGAGGCACGAAAGCGUGGGGAGCAAACAGGAUUAGAUACCCCAGUAGUCC